AGGAGCAGAGAGACAGGGAGACACAGAAUCCGAAGCAGGCUCCAGGCUCCGAGCUGUCCGCACAGGGCCCGACUCGGGGCUCGAACCCACGAGCCGUGAGAUCAUGACCCGAACCGAAGUCGGAGGCCCAACCGACCAAGCCACCCAGGCGCCCCGGGGGGAGCAGACUUGGAACCCCAUCUCUCGGAACCCAGGGGCCAGAUCCCCCAGGCUCCGCCCCCUUGGGAGACACCGGUAUCUGCGGUCCCCUCCCCGGUUCUCCAGGGCCCGCCCCCUCACCUUUGGCGCCCGGCCCCGCCCCCACCCUGGGCUGGGCCCGCCCCCUCACCUUUGGCGCCCGGCCCCGCCCCCACCCUGGGCUGGGCCCGGCCGCACCUCUCCCAGCCGCACGCCUACCUCCCAGGACGCCCUGGGACCCAUGGCCGCGGUGGCAGCCCCCUGGGGGCGGCAGCGGGAAGAGGCCCGCGCGCUCGGCCGGGCGGUGAGGCUGCUGGAACGCCUGGAAGAGCACUUCGGGGACCCCCGGCUUGCCUCCAGUCCCCCCUCGAUGCGGGACCUGCUGCCCCGCACCGCGCAGCUGCUGCGCGAGGUGGCCCACGCCCGGCGGGCGGCCGACCGAGGCGGCCCCGAGGGUCCCGGCGGUGCGCGGGACUUCCUCGUCGUCUACCUUAACAACCUGGAGGCCAAGAGCAGGCAGGUGGCGGCACUGCUGGCACCCCAGGGUCGGAGGAGUGCCAAUGACGAGCUCUUCCGGGAGGGCUCCGGACUCAGGCGACAGCUGGCCAAGCUGGCCCUCAUCUUCCGCUACAUGCAUGCAGAACUGAGCGCGCUCUUCCCCGGCGGAAAGUACUGUGGACACAUGUACCAGCUCGCCAAGGCCCCAGCCCACAGCUUCUGGAGGGGGCACUGCGGCGCCCGUUGUGUCCUGACCUGGACUGAGUUUGAGUCCAUCUUGUGCACCUGCCACCCGGUGGAAUCAGGCUCCACGGGCCUGGCCUUGCGCUCCACCAUCAACCUCACUUGCAGCGGCCACGUGUCCAUCUUCGAGUUUGACAUCUUUACCAGGCUCUUCCAGCCUUGGCCGACACUCCUCAAGAACUGGCAGCUCCUGGCGGUCAACCACCCGGGCUACGUGGCCUUCCUCACAUACGAUGAGGUUCAAGCACGUCUGCAGGCCUGCAGAGACAAGCCAGGCAGCUACAUCUUCCGGCCCAGCUGCACUCACCUGGGACAAUGGGCCAUUGGAUUCGUGAACUCAGACGGCAGCAUCCUGCAGACCAUUUCUCUCAACAAGCCCCUGUUCCAGACACUCCUGGACGGACAAAAGGAAGGCUUCUUCCUCUACCCAGAUGGGAAGAACCACAACCCAGACCUGACUGAACUCUGCCAGAUGGAACCCCAUCAGCGCAUCCAUGUGUCGGAGGAGCAGCUGAAGCUGUACUGGGCCAUGGACUCCACGUUUGAGCUCUGCAAGAUCUGUACCGAGAGGGACAAGGACGUGAAAAUCAAGCCAUGUGGACACCUGCUCUGUGGCAGCUGCCUGGCUACCUGGCAGCACUUUGAAAGCCAGACGUGCCCCUUCUGCCGCGGUGAGAUCAAGGGCCAAGAGGCCGUGAGUAUCCAUCAAUUUCAAGGGAAGCCAGAGGAAGCCACGGCCGCUGCCGAGUACCUGAGGUCCAGCAGUGACCAGGAAGAUGGGGACGAGGAGCUGGGGCAGGUGGCUUCCUCAGCACCCCCUCGGCUGAAUGUGUCCCCAGCUAAAGGCCGGCUGAAAAUGGUACCUCUGGCCCUCCCCAGACUUCAGGGCCCUCUAUCCUUGCCAAGAAUUAAGACUGUGGCCUUAGCCCCAUGGGAAAUCACCUCCAACCCUCAGGCCAGGGAGGGAGCCACAGGAAACUCCUGAAGGAAAAGUCACCCCUCUGGCUGCCCCCGUGGGGCCCGUGAUCGCUGCCCAGGCAUGGGGGCCGGGCACCACACGUGCUGCUAAAGGGAGCCCCAGGGGCUGCAAGGGGUUUGUGAAUAAUAAACUGCCAAGCCUGGUCUGUCGUCUGAUGUGUGGAGAAAACUACAGCAGCCACCAGGGGGCAGCUUGGCAUUGGGAACAGGUGGUCCUUGAAGCCUGAUCGCCACCUGCUGAAUCCAGGGGUCUGGAGGGGCAAUGGUGGGGAACCCAGCUCUUCUGGAUUCAGGAGUCCAGUCCUCCAGCCUCCUCCCUCAGACCCAACAGUCCAGGCCGCCAGCCCCCUCCCUCAGACCCAGGAGCCCGGAGUCCCAAGUUUUCAGAGAAUCAGGCAACCAACCCCCUUACCCCAUUAAUGAAAAAAUAAUACUAAUUCCUGAACCCAGACCCAGAUAUC